GGUAGGCAUCCAGGCGGGUCUUGAGUAUCUCCAGAGAAAGAGACUCCACUACCUCCCUGGGCAGCCUGUUCCAGUAUUCCAUCACCCUCACCGUAAAGAAGGUCUUGCGCACAUUUGUGACCUACAAAGAUCACCAAGUCUUGUUGAACUUCAUCAUCACCCAAAAGUUAAAGCAUAUUGAUGAACUUGUUGGCCAAAUGCCUUUUGGGCAUCAGCCGUCUCAGUAGAAAGUCUGUUCCAGUGUUUGCCCACCCUCACAAUAAAGAAAUCUUAAUUUCCUGGAGUCCUGUCUGGCCUACAAUGAGUGAAUAGGCAUGUUGCAAAACCACACGGCAUUAAUCACACUCGUCCCGUUGUUGCAGAAGAGUUUUAAUGUGACUCUGUUGGUCAGUAACUCAACAGUAUCAUCAAGACACUGACAUACAGUGCCAUUGAGGUAGGCUUCACUUCCCAACCAAGAUGAUCGAUAAUGAAACCCAAUCUUUGCUUGGUUGAGCCCUUUCUGAAAAUCACCAACUGAAUGAGUCCACAACCAUUUCUUCCUGUAAGGUCUGGCUAUGCCGGCAGCUCUGUAGGACAGCUCUGUCAGCUGCCACAAACCCCGCUGUCCCCCUAGAUGGUAUUUUCCAGUAACUCAGAGAUUACUAUCACGGGAAGAGUGUCCUGUCAAGUUUCUGGAUUGUUUCAAUUAAACCAGCACUCCUUCCAGUACCCAGAAAAGUGGCAGCAAGGUCAGAGGUGGUUUAACCUCCCCUAAGAACCCUGCAUGGGGUUUAAUUAGACUCCUAAUUACUUUCUCUCAGCAUUGGUACAGGAUGAAGAAAUAACGGUAUUUCUCUUCAUAGACAGUCUGUUCUGUAAUUAAUCUCUCAGUUUAGAAUUGGGAAAUCUUUUAUUCUCAACUCAUCAAGAACCUAAAUUGGAAUGUCCGGGUAGCUACUCAAAUAAGAGGCAGAAAUUAUGUAUAAGAAAUUAUUACUUACUGUCAGUGGAAAUAAGUGAAUUUUUCUUCAUGGUAUAAUUUGGCUUGUGCUCAUGGGAAACUCAAGAAUAUUAAUCCAAAUAGCCAUUUAAAGUAGGUUUUGACAAAACCAUUUUAAAUCUUCAUGGGGACAGUCUCAAGAUUUAGCCAUAUUCCAAAACAUCAUGAUCUAUUUAACAAAAAAAAUACACUUUCCCCAAACAAUAGUUGCUGGUGCUGUUUUUAAUCACAUUUAUUCCACAGCUCAUUUCAGAGCUCAGUCGUGCCAGCAGAUUGCUUUACCUUAGGGAGAUAUGCUACAGUGUGAGGGAUAAGAACCUGUAACUGGAAGCCUUAGGGCCACGCAUCCCUUAUCCAGCUGUGUUGCAGUUCGUCCCACUCCAACACGAGUGCCUGGUCACAGCCAUGGGACAGACAGCCACAACUCAUCACCCUCUGGACUGCAGGAGCUGGCAUUGAGCACGCAUUCCCAGUGGUGGGCACUUCCACGCUGUCAGAUUCAGCUGCUCAGUUGGUCAGUAUGCCCUCAUUAAACGUCAGGAAUCCAGUUGUUUAUUGGCUGUUGGCCAAGGUCAUUGGCCAUGACUUUUUCCUGAAAUUACAUUUCUGGCUUAUGACUCAAAAUCAUUAAUAGACAUGUUCAGCAAGCGGGGAAGGAGUCACUGUGUCUAUGAGUUAAAAGACAGAUGAGUGUGUUUUUGUGUUAAUCAGCAUCUACAAAUUAUUUUUGCUUCUGGUAUGGAUGGCAACACUUUACAGCACAGAACGUCAUCUCAGUUUUACAACUUCACUGUAGAUUUUUGCAGUGUAACAUUCUCCUUUUAAUACCUUACAAAGUCAUCUCAAGAAAAUCCACAGUAAUUGGUUCUUUCAGCAAUUUACAAUAGCUCAGUGCAGUACUAAUGAUGAUAAUAAAAUUAAUAAUCCUUUGGAAGUACAUAGCUCUUCACUUUAAUCAUGCUGCUGCUUAUGUGCAUUAAUUAUCGCUCACAGCACUCCUGAGUUAUGUAAGCAAAUAUUGCCUUUCUUUAACAGAGGAAUAAAAUGAAGAAAUGGAUUAAAAUAGCUUGACUAACGUGCAUGGGCUCAAUGACUUAAUUUUCUGUAGAUCAUCUUAGUUUCUAACAAUCAUUAUUCUAAAAAUACAUUGAAUGUCUACACUGAGACAGAGAAGAAAAAAUCAGUAAUUUUUGUUCUAUUUAUUCACUGGAAUUUCUUUACAGAAUCCUUAAAGUAUAACUUGAUGAAUUAUUGCAUUAAUGUUUUAUUUCAUAAAUAAUUCCUGCCCAGUAUCAAACAGUGCUAACUACUAAAAGGUUAUCUGUACACACGAUCACACCGAGUUUUGAGUCAUGGUGAUUUACACAAAAAUCCUGGAUAUUAAGUCUUAUGCUGCUGGGGAAUUUUCUCUGAUGUACUCAUGCUCUUCUCCCUAGACAGCAAGGACAGUCUUUUACUGUCCAGCGCCCUUAAAAAUUAUCACUCUUUCUUGCUGUCUUUUCCUCUGCAGUUGAGAGGUUGUAUCAUCUAGCGCUCUGCUUCAGUCACUUUGUUUCAUAAAUGUCUUUAGCACACAUUUGGGAGACCUUGUGUGACCAUGCAGGUCCUCAUACGUUUGCGGCUCAACUUUAGGCAUUAUCCAGCAGUCAUCAAGUUCCUUGUUCUGAGCUGGCAAAAGUCCUGAAGGCACUUUCAUUAAAGACAAAAGCAAGGGAUUUAUAAGAAUAGUGUCUCAAUCAGUUAUUAAAAAAAAAAACACAAUUACUUUUAUAUACAUAUAUAUGGAUCAGAACGUGUACUUUUAAAAGACUGCCGAUGCAGUUGCUAUCAAAAAAAGAAAUGAGAUGUUAGGAACUUCACUGGAAGGGAAAGGAAGCAAAACAGAAAACAGCACUGCCGAAUACAAGUCCAUUGUGCCUCCACAGAUCUGUGCUUCUAGUGCUGCCAUCUCUUCAAGGCCAUAGGAAUGAUACAAAGAAGGGCAACUGGGAUGAGCAGAAAUUUGGAACAGCUUCUUUUCAUUAUGAAGAGAGACUAAAUAAGCCGAGACUCUUCGAUCUGAAACACCAGAUGGUUGAGGGGGAAUACGAUAAAGGUUUAUAAAACUGUGAUAGUACAAAGAAAGCAGACUGUAAGUUAUUAUGUCUUAGUUUUCAUAAUCUAAGAGUAAAAGGGAAGCACAUGAAGCUGUAGAGCAAAAAUUUUUUAACUAACCAAAAAGAGGUCCUUUAUUUUCAGAUGACUCAUAUUUACUCUGUGGAGUUCCUUUUCCAGCAAAGUUGUGGGUGCCAACUUGGAAACUUGUACUGCAAUACUGAAUAUAAAGAUGAGCUCACUGGGAAGGGUUUACAAAUGUUAUAGAGCUCGCUAUUCAAAGCAAUGAAUGAGUGGAAGACACGAGGAGAAGGCAAAGAUCCUGUUGUGCAAAAAAACCAAGACUAUCUCCUUGGUCUCGGAAAGCCUGGAAGACAACGGAUGGGCAAGAAGGGAAGACUACAUAAGGGGAGGCACGGACUUUAAAUGACUGGAAGGAUGAUCUGCUCACCCCCACAUUGCUCCUGCUAAGGGACCUCUGCCCCCACCGCAGCACAGCGCGGGGAUGUGCACAGCUGGGAGAGCGACGUGACAGAGCCAGGAAACGGGAUAAAACGCCUGACUGCGGGUCGUGGUGUUUAUCUGAGAUCCUUCCCCGGUGUAAAACCUGCCCGGCGUCUGCUGGUGUGAUCUGCGGAUGUAUCAUAUACUCUGAAUGCAUUUCCUGUAUUUCAUGCCUAUAUUCUAAAUAUAUUCCAUAUAUUUCAUAUAUUUGGUGCAAUUCUAGAUCAAAAACCCCGGGUUGUGUUUGGUAUUUAUUUACAAAAUAUUCUAUUAACUUGAGGUUUAGUAACGGUUGGUAGCAUUCCUUAUAACCAAUUUAAAGUUAUUGUGAACUCACCUCAGCACAAAAUAAAUACCUAAAUUAGAUGAUUGCAACACGUUAAUUAUUUUGACUAAUUUUGAGAAUAUUGUUUAAAGAACAAAUAAAAACAGGAACCUUAAAGAAUACUUUGAAAACGAUGCUUUUAGUCUGUACAUUU